UUGGGACCCAUUUGAACUUGAAUCGAUCUAGUUCGCUCCAAUUAGCACUACCAGUUCAUCCCAAUUAGACGUUUCAGUUCAUCCCCAUUUGAGCGGCGGUACUAAUGGCAGUUUGUUUCGAACAAAUCUGAGGGAUUCAGUUGCAUCUGCAUACCCCACGUUAGGUCGGCUACUGCCGAACCCCCAUGCUCCUGGAUGGAGGUCGAUGGGCAGGAGGCGGGGCACGGGAUGAUGGAGCCGCAGGUGGUGGACCUCGAGGACGACAGCAUCAACUUCUGGGCCUCGCUGGGCGUCCAUGGUGUCGACAACAUGCCGCUGCACGGCGGCGUCCACAUCGUCGACCAGGUGCCGACGCCGGCGCUGUCGCAGUCAGUCUGCAAGGAGCUGUUCCCGGUUGACUCCGACCCAUGCCUUGAGCCCCGGCUGGGGAUGGAGUUCGAGUCCGGCGAGGCCGCCAAGACCUUCUACAUUGCCUAUGCAGGGCGUGUGGGGUUCUCCGUCCGCAUUGCUCGGUCACGGAGGUCUAAGUGCAGUGAGUCUGUCAUUAUGUUGAGGUUUGUCUGCUCAAAGGAAGGGUUCAGCAAGGAAAAGCAUGUUGUUGAGGGGAAGAAGACGAGGAAGCGGCCUGCCUCCAUUCGGGAGGGCUGCAAUGCCAUGCUCGAGGUGCUACGUAGAGGUGACAGCAAGUGGAUUGCCACCAAGCUUGUCAAGGAGCAUAACCAUGAGGUCGGUAUGCCCAGCAGAGUGCACUACAUUGCCACAGAGAGUGAUGUGGUGGUCGACCCUUACAUUGGUAUGGAGUUUGAAUCCCUUGAGGCUGCCAAGACAUUCUACUACUCAUAUGCGACCCGUGUUGGGUUUGAAGCUCGUGUACGCCAGUCCCGCAAGUCGCAGGAUGAGUCACUCAAGAUGCUGAAGCUUGUCUGCUCGAGGCAUCGGUACCAUUCUGGAAGGGAAUCCAAUGGAGGGGAUACCAAGAGAGUGCAAGCCUUGGAUCCUUCCAGGGAUGGUUGUGAUGCAUUAUUCGAGAUUAUUCGGAAAGACAGAGAUGCCUGGAAGGUCUCUAAACUCAUCUUAGAGCAUACUCAUGAGCUGAACCCGGCACCAACAAGUAGAGUUCGUUGUGUUCGCUCACAGGGUGAGGUACUUGUUAUUGCAAAGAACUUCUCUGACACCCGUAAUCUCCUAUUGAACGGUCUAGAUUCCCCGCAUCAUAGAGAGUUGCGAUAUAAUGAUCUAGGGCCAGAGGAUGUUCAAAGCUUCCUUGGAUAUCUAAAGAAGGCACAAACUGAGGAUCCUUCAUUUUUCUAUGCUGCGCAGCUUGACAAGAAUGGUCACACAGCCAAUAUUUUCUGGGCUGAUGCGAAAGCUAGGAUGGCUUACCUCCAUUUUGGUGAUGCUGUUAGGUUUGGUAUGCUGUGCAGAAACAGCAAGGAGCAUAUACCUAUCGCGGUAUUUUCAGGUGUCAAUCAUCAUGUGCAGCCUGUUGUGUUUGGCUGUGCACUAAUUGUUGAUGAUUCUGAAGCAUCAUUUGUAUGGUUGUUUGAAAAAUGGCUUGAAUCAAUGCCUCCUGGUCCUCCUGUCUCGUUGGUAUUAGAGUUUAACCAAGCAAUGGCUGCUGCAGCUACCAAAACACUACCCGAUACCUAUUGUUUGUUCUGUGAGAAGCAUAUCUUGGGUGUUGUCAGGGAAGAGCUACAAAGUUUAGAUUUAGAACUAGAAGAUUUCGUUACUGAUCUGAGAAAAUGCAUUGACUGGUAUAGAUUAGAAGAAUCAUUUGAAUCAUGUUGGGACUCAGUCAUCAGAAAAUAUGGCUUCAUAAAUAAUGAACUAUUACGGUCUCUAUACGAUAUUCGCAGACAAUGGGCCCCUGCAUACACAAAGAAGGUAUUUUGUGCCAGAAAUCUACUUCCACAGAGCUGUCAUAAUCUUGAAAAUGUUGUUGAGAAGCACUUCUCGUGCAAGACCCAAUUGCGAGUGGCUGUUCAGCAACUUGAACAAGCUGUUUGUAAUUUUUAUGAAAAGGAAGCCCAGGCAGAUUAUCUGACAACGUUUCAAAUGCCAACACUUAGGACGGCAUCACCAGUGGAAAAGCAAGCAAGUUCUAUAUUCACCAGGUCAAUAUUUGAUAAAUUUCAGGAGCAGUUUGUUGAGUCCUUUGGGUACCAUGCAGAUAGACUUGAGGUCGAGGAUGUGAUGCUACACAAGUAUUGUGUUACAGUAAGUGAAGGGAAUGAGGAGGCACAUACUGUUUCUUUCAAUCCAGAAAAAAAGACAGUGGGUUGCAGUUGCUGUUUGUUUGAGAGCUGUGGCAUCUUGUGUCGGCAUGCUCUUCGUGUUUUCAUUAUUGAAGGUGUACGUUCUCUUCCAAUGGCUUAUAUCUUGAAACGCUGGACAAAGCAUGCAAAAAGUAUUGUCACCUUGGAUGAUUACAUAGAUUUAAGAGGAUACCAUGAUGAUCCUUCAACUGCAAGGUACAAUGAUCUCCAUUCUGAUGCGAUCAAAUGUGCAAAAGAGGGUUCAACAUCCUCUGAGCUCUAUAAGAUUGCUAAAGAGGCAUUGCACAAAGCUCUUGAUGAACUAGUGUCUUUAAGGAAAAGCAGAUAUCAGCAAAAUUUACAAAGUUCUAUCACAUCAGUAAAAAAGCCGAUCAAGAAGUCUGUGAAGGGAAAAGAUUCUAAUCAUUGUACUGGCAAGAGCUUAAAUAGGAAUGAGCUGGGUAGUGGGCACUGAAUCAGGUAGCUUAUCUUGCCAGUUGCCACAGAAUGUUAGAUGAGCUUAUCUUCACAUACAUGAUUUGAUUGAUUUCUGGUGAAGUGGACAAAAAAUCAUACUGCCCAAGGCUGGAAGGAGCCAAAGCAUAUAAUACAGUUCAGCAAUAUGAGGAUUUAGCAUAUGUUAACAUCGAUAUGAAGAAACGAGUGCAGUACCAGCUGUAUACCAUCAACCAUGUCGUAUCAAGGGAGACAACCUUUGGAUACAGCUAUUCAGCAAGCUGAUAGAACAAAUGAUCAAGGCAGGGAGUUGAACGGAAGUUCUGUUUUCCCCAUUAGGGAGGCAAGCGUGAAGAAAAAGGCACCACCUUGCAGGCAUAUCCACAGUCCAGUCCAUUGCACUCUGAUUCCACAGUAGCUAGUUGGAGGUUGCUGUUAGAUCGGUUGAAUUCUUCUCGAAGAGCAUGCCGCAUGCACAUAACGCCACAACCAUGUGCAGGUAAUGACAAGAGCAAAGAAAGAGGAGGGUCAGCGCGCCAAGAUAUGUCAAGAUUGAAAGCAAUGUAUGCUCACAGACACACUGCAAAACCUAUAGCUUGAGACUGGAUGCUUCAACAAUCAAGCAUUGGCACACAAACCACUGCUGCAUCUUACCUGGGAACAGAAAUGAGAGGAACACCUUUUCUUGUUAUUUAUAAGAAAAGGAAUGUGCCAACUGCCAUGUGCAUCGGGCUCCCACUCGAAGAUCUUCGUCUUGCGCGUGGAAAGGAGAGUAAGAUGGAUGCUCUGGUAGUGGUUUCUGAGUUACAAAUUGCAGAGUUAGGUGGUACUUGUGCGGUUGCAGCUGUCAGGAUCAGAAUGGGAGCAUUGCAAAGCGGCUCCCUGAGCCUGAGCUUUCAGUUCAGCCCUUCCAGGCCCAAGCGGACGUGUCCCAACUCCCAACAGUGGGUUCUUCCUUGUACAUGUCCCCAUCGGCUUGCUCAACCCCACCAAAUCCGUCGCGCCGGCCCACGGUCUCCUUGGCUUGAGAUAGAGAUUGGAGGCGUGCUGUGUGUUGUGUGUUGUCGCUGGCAUGGAGCUCGUGGCCGAACGGAUAGACCACUAUGUUGGCCUGUCAUUGGCCACCCAGGGGCAAGGGGCAGCAUGCCUGCCUUUACCAACUCUCAGGUUCCUGUUCUCUCUCUCUCUCUCUCUCUCUGUCUCUUCUAUUUGCUUUGCUGAGUUCAUAUGCAUAAUGCCCCCAAUUAAACAGUAGUGCAAUGUCAAACCUUUCUUUUCAUCUGAUUGAUUAUGAAUUAUCUUUGCACUGUUUGUUUAUUUCUAGAUAGAUGCUGUAUCCCCUUUCUUUGGGCAGACUCAACGUGGACCAGUUGGUUCCUCAUCCUUUUUUCUUGUUUACAAGAGAAGUGAACCACUUCAUUUAAGUCCAGCCAUAACUAUAGUUCUGCAUAACAGUUGCAGCAUUUUGGCUCGAUGCGUGGUUUCACAUCAUGCAAUUCAAUCGAUUAAAAAUGCACACGAUAUGCUGGCAAAGAAAGAGACAGA